rnacentral:rRNA from 1 species
GACGAACGCUGGCGGCGUGCUUAACACAUGCAAGUCGAACGGAAAGGCCCUUUUGGGGUUAUCCGACUGGCGAAGGGGGGCGUAACACGGAGGUAACCUUCCCUUGCCUUCGGGAUAACUUCAGGAAACUGGGGCUAAUACCGGUAAGACAUCCUUCCACCAUGGGGGGGGUUGGAAGGCUUUGGGGGGUUUGGUGGGACUCGCGGCUUAUCGGCUUGUUGGUGGGGUGGUGGCUUACCAAGGCUUUGACGGGUAGCCGGCCGGAGGGGGCGACCGGCCACAUUGGGACUGAGAGACGGCCCAGACUCCUACGGGAGGAAGAAGUGGGGAAGAUUGCACAAGGGGCGGAAGGCUGAUGCAGCAACGCCGCGGGCGGGAUGACGGCCUUCGGGUUGUAAACCGCUUUCAGCAGGGGAGAAGCUUGUGGUGACGGUACCUGCAGAAGAAGCACCGGCUAACUACGUG